rnacentral:rRNA from 1 species
CAGGUCAGCAUACUGCCGUGAAUACGUUCCCGGGCCUUGUACACACCGCCCGUCACACCAUGAGAGUUGGGAAUACCCGAAGCCUGUGAGCUAACUUUUAGAGGCAGCAGUCGAAGGUAGAAUCAAUGAUUGGGGUGAAGUCGUAACAAGGUAGC